CUUUACCAAGCCUAGGUCUUUGAAACCAGAGCAGAGCAUGGGAUUUCCUAUGAUGGAUGUAAAUGGUAGUCCUGUAUAGUACCCAUCCUGGGACUACCUGGUUGCUGGAGCAUCUGAGCGUGGUGAAGCCACUUGCUGCAACAGGGCACUUAAGCACAGCCUGUAGAGCCACGUGUACCGAUCCAGUUGGUAAUUACUGGAGUCAUUUUCUCCAGUCUGGGAGUGAAGUGGUCACGGGAGUCACAUUCUGGGUGAGAAAGAAAAGCUUUGUACAGAGACGUGAGCUUUAAUCAGGGGACAGCAGACAAGCAUUUUAGAAAGUCUCCCCUUGCCUCGCGGUGAUGAAGAAUAAAUGACCCACCAGCAAAUGACUCCCUACGCUACUGCUACAGCUCCCUGGAAAUACCCACAAUGCUUCUGCCUGGAUUUCAAAGAUGGUCUGGGCCUCACUGUGGUCAUUAGUGCUGUAGGAAAAACAGCAGUCGAUCAAUGGAUUGACUCUGGGGAGAUGCUUCCGGGUUUCAUCGCUCUAAGCCACAGUUACAAGUUUCUUCCAGGGUGCAGCUCCUGCAAGGCUCUCCAUGCUACAGUGGGUUGUCCUGCACCAAUUCACAUACAGGCAGCAUAGCAUGGACACACUGGGAAACCACAAGAAGUUGAGAGGGAAAGUGGGUGUAACUGAAGGAUGCGAAACUGGGUGAUCAAAACACCUUGUAUCCAUGCAUGAAGUGCUCAAGUAACCAAAGAUUCAGUUGCUAAAUAAAG
rnacentral:lncRNA from 1 species